UUUGGCACUAAAGUUUAUAAUAUUGUCAAUUUAGUCCAACAUUAAGGGUUGUUUAAGGAUAAGGAUGGCCAGUGAUACAUGUCAUUCCUACGCCUCCCCCACCGGUUCUGCCUCGGUUCCUGCGCUUCCCAAGAAAUUUUUUCUAGAUCCCUCCAUUUCUGAACGACACUUCUAACACAACCACCACACCAUUGAGUCAUUACUCUUUGUCUCCGCCGAUUUCCGAUUCUUCUUCACCACCGUUCUAGACUGACCCGUUUUCUCCUUGCUCCAGGUAUUUUUCCUGUCGUAACCUUCCUUCGGACUCUAUAACAGCCAUCAGCCACAACCACAGCCACAAACUCCAUACAUGAAUUUUAGGAACCAAAGGAGCGAAAGAAAUCUGGUAUGUACACGAAGCUUUAAAACAUAUACUCACUUUCUCCUGCAUCCCAUUUCUUUAGAUGAGAUUACGCGCUCCAGUAGAUCACCCCUGUAUUCUUUCUAUCUGUGAAUUUGGAGUUGAUGCUCCGUCUAAUGGGGGGUUAUGUUUUGGAUUUUUGUGACCUCUUUCAUCUCUCUGUCUAGGGUUUCGUUGUGUUGUUUUGGAUCGUAGGUAUCAAGAAGAAUAGAUGAUGAUGAAUCAACAUCGACUAUCAAUCUUGGAAAACCCCACAGGUGUUCAGAGGCAGCGAAUUUACGACAUCGUCAACAUAUUAGAAAGUGUUGGCGUCUUGACAAAGAAAGCAAAGAAUCGGUAUACUUGGGGGGUGUUUUUGGUGCAAUUCCACAGGCUUUAGAAGAGCUUAGGUUAUGUCAAAAUACACGCUUAUUAUCCUCAUAAUUUUUUGUUGGUAUGAUUGAUUAAAGUUAAAAGAAUAAGAUGAACUCAUGAUUUCUGAA